rnacentral:rRNA from 1 species
UACGUAGGUGGCUAGCGUUGUCCGGAUUCAUUGGGCGUAAAGGGUGCGUAGGCGGCGCGGUAAGUCGGGUGUGAAAUCUUGGAGCUUAACUCCGAAACUGCAUUCGAUACUGCCGUGCUUGAGGACUGGAGAGGAGACUGGAAUUUACGGUGUAGCGGUGAAAUGCGUAGAUAUCGUAAGGAAGACCAGUGGCGAAGGCGGGUCUCUGGACAGUUCCUGACGCUGAAGCACGAAGGCCAGGGGAGCAAACGGG